rnacentral:misc_RNA from 1 species
UAAACCUCACCUCUAAUGUUUUCUCAUUAGUCGUGCUUUGGGUGUUGCCAUUGGCUCGCCUUAAAUGCCUAAGUGGAAUGCGUAAUAAGUCUCGCAACCCUCCACUCUAACACUUUUAUA